GCUGAUCGAAUUAAAUGAAUCCAAACACAUCAGAUCUCAGAAGUUAAGCAGAGCCAAGCCCAAUUAGUGCUUGGAUGGGAGACCUGUGGAAGGCCAGGUGUUGUAGGCU
rnacentral:rRNA from 1 species